rnacentral:rRNA from 1 species
AUGGAGAUAGCAUGUAUGGUUUUUAAAAUGGGUCCUCUUGACACCAAGGGGUAUCAGAUAGUCUUGUGUUUUGCCACAAAGGGCAGGAGCUGUGACACUCGACGAGGACAAAUAGUUCAAGUACAAAAGUACAAGGGAAUGGUCUUUCGGAUAUAUAGACAUAAGAGGAAACUUCCUUUUGCAUUGCAAAAAUUGAUGCAAUUCAAAAUAUGUCAUUUUAGUAAAAUUAAGAAGGUAUUGCUUAGUGGAGUGUUUGCAGUUAAACAUCAUUUUGAAAACCACGUCUCCAUUACCUGGUAUAUACUGUCCUUAUGUUUAGCAUCGACCUAA